rnacentral:snoRNA from 1 species
AUUCCAUGAUGAAGGCACUUUCGAAUAACCCUUUGUACUUUUCCCAAGCCUCAUACAGAGACUCAUCAUCCAUUUGUUGGAAGGCAGUGAUCUCAUUCCUCAACUU